rnacentral:rRNA from 1 species
AGAACGAACGUUGGCGGCAUGGAUGAGGCAUGCAAGUCGCGGGAAUCCCCAGCAAUGGGGGGAACCGGCGUAAGGGGCAGUAAGGCGUGGGUACCUACCCCGUGGUCCGGGAUAGCCCGCCGAGAGGCGGGGUAAUACCGGAUGACCUCGGGAGAGCAAAGCUCCGGCGCCAUGGGCGGGGCCCACGUGAUAUUAGCUAGUUGGCGGGGUGACGGCCCACCAGGGCGGAGAUGUCUAGCGGGUGUGAGAGCACGACCCGCGCCACUCGCACUGAGACACUGGCGAGACACCUACGGGUGGCUGCAGUCGAGGAUCUUCGGCAAUGGGGGCAACCCUGACCGAGCGAUGCCGCGUGGGCGACGAAGGCCUUCGGGUUGUAAAGCCCUGUCGAGGGGGAGAAAGCCGCAAGGCGGAUCCAUCCCGUGGAGGAAGCGUCGGGCUAAGUUCGUGCCAGCAGCCGC